rfam:Kwoniella mangroviensis CBS 10435 unplaced genomic scaffold supercont2.9, whole genome shotgun sequence.
AUCUACGGCCAUAGAAGGUAUAGAACGCCCCAUCCCGUCCGCUCUGGGGAGCUUUAAGCUACCUAUCGCCUGGCUAGUACCAAGGUGGGGGACAACUUGGGAAUCCCAGGUGCUGUAGUUU